rnacentral:rRNA from 1 species
UACGAAGGGGGCUAGCGUUGCUCGGAAUCACUGGGCGUAAAGCGCACGUUAGGCGGACUCUUAAGUCGGUGGUGAAAUCCUGGAGCUCAACUCCAGAACUGCCUUCGAUAGCUGAGAGUCUCGGAGUCCGGGAGAGGUGAGUGGAACUGCGAGUGUAGAGGUGAAAGUUCGUGAGAUAUUCGCAAGAACACCAGUGGCGAAGGGCGGCUCACUGGCUCGGAUAACUGACGCUGAGGUGCGAAAGCGUGGGGAGCAAACAGG